GACACUCUGGAUUUUUUUUUCAACCUUUUUUAUUGUUGUUGUUUGUUUGUUUGUUUUUCUGUGGAUCCGUGAUCUCUGCGUUUUUCUGAAGUUAAAAAACGUUUUAGCUUGUGAAGUGGCUCAUGCUUGUUACGUACUUAGUAGGCUGACAGGCUCACUCUGAGGAAAACCUGGGCUACACACAGUGUGACUCCGUCUUACAUUUGACAAACUGUCCACAAGCAUUUCCCCCAGUUUCAGAGUACUGCCUGGUAUAUAGUAGGGACUGAAUAACUCAUGAUUAUGAAUUACUUGCAAAAGCUCAGAAAGUCUGGUCCAAUCGGGGACUUGAGUGCUGAAGCAAGGGCAUGAGAAGGAAAAGAGAAAAGUGUUCCGGAAGCAAAAGCUACAGACACAGAACAGGCAUUGUAGUGUGUCUUCGGCAUAGUUUUGAACUUACUUUGCUCUGUUGAAAUACCUUGGCCAAAAGCAACUUGAGGAGGAAAGGAUUGAUUUUGCUUAUACUUCCAGAUCACAGUUACCCAUGGAAGUUAGGGCAGGAACAGAAAGCAGAAACCUGGAAGCAGGAAUCUAGAUCAGAAACCACGGAGGAAUGUUGCUCAUUAGCGAGCCCUCUGACUUGCUUCCAGCUCCCUUUAUCUUACACAGGCAAGGCCCAUCUGCUUAGGGAUAGUGCUGCCCACACUGGGCUGAGCCCUCCCGCGUCCAUCAUCAGUGAAGACAAUCUCUCACAGAUAUGGACACAGGCCAGUCUGAUAAUGGCAGUUCAGCUGAGAUUCCUUCUUGCCAGGUGGCUCUGGGUUGGGUCAGGUUGAAGAUAAAAACUAAGCAGGACAAUACAUUGCAUGGCACAUGCAACCCAGUCUUCAACUGCAUCAUGCAUCGGAACAUCACUUGUGUUUUCACUGUGGGUGGCAAUUUUGCCCUCUCCAGCUACGGGAGGCCACCACCAUCCACUGGGGUGGAAGGAUUUGCUCCACCUGUGUCCCCAGGAUGUUCAUGUUAGGAGUCAGCUGACAAGAAAGGUGGAUGCAGUUGUGACAUCAUGAAGGGUGCAUUACAUGUAGGUGUGUGUCACCCAAACAUAGUAGCAUCAGACAUCUCACCUUUAGAUUUCUUUAAUAAUGUCCCACUUGGAGUCUCGGAGGCCUUCACUCAAGUAGGGUUUAGUGAAGGCGCGUUCUGGAUCCUGGGGAGAGGGAGCAUAGAGAACUGAUUGCCCCUCAGCAGAUGCAUGCACUUUGUGGUGAGGACACACCCAUUCUCUGCUGUAGAGAUCUACUUUCAGACUGACUGACGGAGGCUCUCUGCGUUUUGCUGGCCCUCUAUUUCUCAGUUUUCUGAAAAUAUUUGGCUAUGAUGCUUUGUAAAGGCAAGUCUAUAGGUUAAGUUUUGGCUCAUAUUUCUGUCUUGAGCUUUAUCCUGUUCCUGUCAUUUUUCUAAAAAAAAAAAAAAUAGUGAGAGAAAAGAAAAAAAAAACAACCAAACUCUGCUUCAUUCUACAUUCUACAUCCCAACCUUUUUUCCUUUUACUAAUUUGUUAUUAUUUUAUCUUAUGUUUGUGAGUGUUUUGCCUGCUGUAUCUAUAUGUAUUACAUGUGUCCCUGGUGUUCUUGAAGGCCAGAAGAUGGUGUCAGAUGCCCUGGAACUGGAGUUACAGAUGGUUGUGAGGUGUCAUAUGGGUGAUAAGAAACAAACCCUGUCCUUGGAAAGAAGAGUCAGUAUGCUCUCAACGGAUCUUGUGCACUGUCCACAACUGGGGCAAGGAUGACACAGGAGACCAACAGGACAUUUCAGGCAAGGACGUUACUCUUGGAUGGAAUAUGUCAAUUGAGAUGAAAUAACUACGCAACAGCUAACUACGAUGAACUCGUCAUACCUGUGUUUCCUGCAGAGAAUUACAUUUCUUUCUCCUUUGUGGUGAAAUAGAGCUC